GUAGUGGAAAAGAAGAGUUAGUAGGAUACGGGGGAUAUGGCUCUGUUUAGAAAUUUUGUUUUAGAGCAAAUCCCAUCUGCACUGUUAGGAAAUCAGCAGUUCAGUUUACAGGAUUCAACAGUGGCAGCUCGAUCCGCCCCCAAAUACUUUAUGGAAAUCCCAGCAGUCUAGCUCAGUAGUGUUGGACAGCAAACGUUGAAGCACCCAGACCUCAGCCAAAUCCGCACAAGUCAGCAGGAGCUGCCAAGGCCACCUGGAGCACCAGGAGAAGUUCUCUGCCAUGCCUCUCUCUGAGACCAGGAAGCGCUGCAAAGCUAGUUAUGCAAGUCAGCCCCUGUCACUGUCAGUGGAGUCCUCUUUAAACUCCUUCCAAACAUCACAUGCCCUCCACGGGUCUUGCCUCAGCAUGUGAGUCUAUCUUAGCAAAACUCCAUGCGAGUCUGUAUCAGCUGACAUCACUCUGCCAAUCGGCCCAAGUCUGAAGAAGCGGCAAGAAGCCACCAGAACACCAUCAGAAGGGUUUUGGGGCAUGUCUUUCUAUGGAGUCAAGAUAUAUGGAACUCAACUAUGCGAGAACUGCGUGUGCUCCCUCAGAUGUCCUUUGAGAUGACCUUGACAUGACCCAUGGAGCUGCCAUUUGUCACAGGGACUUGAUUUUCACUCAUUGUGACAUGGAGGAAGGAGCUUUCGUUUGUCACUGUGAGAGCUGACACACCCAGAAGGCCCUCACCAGGAGCUGACACACCCAGAAGGCCCUCACCAGAAGCUGACACACCCAGAAGGCCCUCACCAGGAGCUGACACACCCAGAAGGCGGCCCUCACCAGGAGCUGACACACCCAGAAGGCCCUCACCAGGAGCUGACACACCCAGAAGGCCCUCACCAGGAGCUGACACACCCAGAAGGCCCUCACCAGAUGUUGAACAGAUGUCUGUGCUCUGUUCUUAGACUUGCGUGCCUCCAGAACCGUGAGCCAAGCAAUUCUGCUUAUGGAUUACCUUCCCGUGGGAUUGUUAUUGUAAACUAGAUUAGGAAAGAGAACAUUGUGCUUUGCAAAGCAGAGCUCUAAUUGUGGAGAGGGUUGUUCAUGGCAAGGCAGAAGAAGCACUGCUUGGCAGAUAAGGCAGAAUCUAAUUUCCUUUUUAACCAUUAAAUUCCCUUCACAGGUUAUUCCUAAUAAACCCAUGCAAAAUUAAACCUUGACCUAACAUCAGUCCUGUUUUUGUAGGUCCAUGUUACCUCCUAUGUAAUAAAAAUAUUCCAGGUAAGAGAA